UGUGUCACAAGUCAUUCUUUGUAAUUUCAAGCCUUUGGAUAGCCAGUCUACAAACAAGUCAUCAAAUCUAUUUGUCAAUAGAUAGGUUUCUAUACCUAUAUAUACAUAUAUACACACACACAAAAGGUAUUGCACCAUAUAGCAAAGCCAUGACAAUUAACUUGCGUUUAACAUUAAAAUGAUAUGGUUAGCAAAUUCUUUCUUCACAUAUUGAACUAUGAAAGUGGUGGAUCAUAUAUCAUGGCAAGACUAUAGGGAGUCUUCUCCCUCAUUUAAACUAGUAUAAUGACACCAUUUUAAGGUUUUCUCACUCUUGACAAAUUUUCAGCUUUUGACAUUACAUCAGUUAAGUUACUUAUUUGGUUUGUAUUGAUUGUAGGAUAAAUUUGAGAUUGGGGAGAAUUACGAGGAGAAUUCACUAUCCCAUCAAGUUGUGGAAAGGAAGUGUUAUGCGUUACAUAAAGAUUGUAAGCGUCGCUACGACACCGGGAAACUUAAUAGGAGCAAGCUACCCUACAAUCAUAGUAGUGGGUCGCGAUCUUUUCCGGCGGCGAUGAGCAUUGAGAUCAUAGGUGAAGGAAAAUGGUGGCUUCUUGCCAGAUAUUUGCGAUUUCUACAAGGACACUCAUCAGCACAAGAAGACAAAAGAAUGGAUUGAUCCUAUAUGCGGUGCUCUACAUGCAAGUAUUCCAAUCAUUUGGACACUUAUACUAACUACUGUGUUUGAUUUAUAUUAACAAUAUUCCAGUGUCACAAUUACAAGAGCAAAUGACGAUGGUGCGGGAUGAGUCUAUCGAGUCUGGAACGCUCAUGACACAAGAGAAUAUAUCAAGAGUGGUUCUUGGAAAGAAGAAGGGAUACCUGAGAGGUUUUGGGGUCGAACCAAAGCCCUCGUCUUGUGAUUCUGGGUUGAAUGCGGCAUCACAAGCACGUGAGGAGCACUUGAAAAGGCUUAUAUCCAAGUUGGAGAUACUACGUGCGGAGUAGCAGAGUGACCGUGAGGAGCAUCAAAAAAAAGAAGAGGACCAACAAAUAAAAGAUGCAGAGAAUGCAAGACAACGUCAAGAGAUGUAGGGGCAGAUUUUUGGACUUCAAGGCAUGGUGGUGCAAGUUUUGGAAAUGCUCAAUCCAUCAAAGUCCCCACCAUAGCUACUCAUGGUAAUGGAUGGAUGAUCUCGUGCACGAAGCUAAAUUGUACAGGACUAAUUGGCAGUAUAAGCAUUUUUGGAAGGAAUAUAUAUUUUUGGAUAGAUGUAUGUAUGGAAAAGAUUUGGGUGGACUGGUAGUUAUAUUUUUGGAUAGACUAGUAGUUAUAUUUUUGGAUGGAUGUGUAUGGAAAAUAUUUGGGUAGAUUACUAGUGUGUAUAUUUUUUGAUAGAUGCGCAUGGAUAACAAUUUAAAACAUAAUAACAAGUAAUUGUUAUGUUA